GAGGGGAAGUUCAACUAGCAAGAACUGCUAAUUCCUGCAUCUGAGCCUAAACCCUCAGUCCCCUUA
rnacentral:tRNA from 1 species